rnacentral:rRNA from 1 species
GAUGAACGCUGGCGGCGUGCCUAAUACAUGCAAGUCGAGCGAACUGACGAGGAGCUUGCUCCUCUGACGUUAGCGGCGGACGGGUGAGUAACACGUGGAUAACCUCCCUAUAAGACUGGGAUAACUUCGGGAAACCGGAGCGAAUACCGGAUAAUAUAUUGAACCGCAUGGUUCAAUAGUGAAAUACGGCUUUUCUGUCACUUAUAUAUGGAUCUGCGCCGCAUUAGCUAGUUGGUAAGGUAACGGCUUACCAAGGCGACGAUGCGUAGCCGACCUAAGAGGGUGAUCGGCCACACUGGAACUGAGACAGGGUCCAGGCUCCUACGGGAGGCAGAAGUAGGGAAUCUUCCGCACUGGGCGAAAGCCUGACGGAGCCACGCCGAGUGAGUGAUGAAGGUCUUCUGAUCGUAAAACUCUGUUAUGAGGGACAAACAGAUGUGUAAGUAACUAUGCACGUCUUGACGGUACCUAAUCAGAAAGCCACGGCUAACUACGUG